GGGUGAGUAACACGUGAGUAACCUGCCCUUGACUCUGGGAUAAGCGCUAGAAAUGGCGUCUAAUACCGGAUACGAGCUUCAGCCGCAUGGCUAGGAGUUGGAAAGAAUUUUGGUCAAGGAUGGACUCGCGGCCUAUCAGCUAGUUGGUGAGGUAAUGGCUCACCAAGGCGACGACGGGUAGCCGGCCUGAGAGGGUGACCGGCCACACUGGGACUGAGACACGGCCCAGACUCCUACGGGAGGCAGCAGUGGGGAAUAUUGCACAAUGGGCGAAAGCCUGAUGCAGCAACGCCGCGUGAGGGAUGACGGCCUUCGGGUUGUAAACCUCUUUUAGUAGGGAAGAAGCGAAAGUGACGGUACCUGCAGAAAAAGCACCGGCUAACUACGUGCCAGCAGCCGCGGUAAUACGUAGGGUGCAAGCGUUGUCCGGAAUUAUUGGGCGUAAAGAGCUCGUAGGCGGUUUGUCGCGUCUGCUGUGAAAUCUGGGGGCUCAACCCCCAGCCUGCAGUGGGUACGGGCAGACUAGAGUGCGGUAGGGGAGAUUGGAAUUCCUGGUGUAGCGGUGGAAUGCGCAGAUAUCAGGAGGAACACCGAUGGCGAAGGCAGAUCUCUGGGCCGUAACUGACGCUGAGGAGCGAAAGCAUGGGGAGCGAACAGGAUUAGAUACCCUGGUAGUCCAUGCCGUAAACGUUGGGAACUA
rnacentral:rRNA from 1 species